rnacentral:lncRNA from 1 species
CCGUUAUGGGGUGGGGGUCUGGUUAUGGGGCAGGAGUGGGGGUCCCGUUAUGGGGCUGAGGUGGGGGUCCUGCUAUGGGGUGCGGGUCUCCUUAUGGGGCUGGAGUGGGGUUCUGCUAUGGGGCCGGUGGUCCCGCUAUGGGGCAGUGAUAGGAGUCUCGCUAUGGGGCUGGGAGUGGGGCUGGGGGUCCCGCUAUGGGGUGGGGGUCUGCUUAUGGGGCAGGGCUGUGGGUCCGGCUAUGGGGCUGUGGGGUCUCUGCCCCACACUUGUGGGGCGCUGACGUUUCCCCCCACCUCGCAGUGCUCAACGUGUUUGCAGUCGCGGCGCUGAGUCUGGAAAGGAGGCUGGCAGCGGGCCGGCUGUCUGAGCGCAGUGGCUCCGCGCUGCACGCCGUGCUGCUGCUGUCGGUGCUGUGUUUCCCCGCCGCCGUCGUUCUGGCCGUGCCGUCCAGCACCCCGGGUCAGCCGCGGGGCAUUGUGGGGGAUUCUCGGGGUGCCUAUGGGGUUUAUGGGGGUUAUGGGGUUCCUAUGGGGUUCCUAUGGGGGUUAUGGGUUUUUUUGGGGGGUUUAUGUGAUUCCUUUGGAGGUUAUGGGGUUUUUAUGGGGUUUAUGGGGUUCCUAUGGGGUUUAUGGGGUUCCUAUCGGGGCUUAGGGGUUUUUUAUGGGGUUUAUGGGGUUUUUAUGGGGCUUAUGGGGUUUUUAUGGGUUUUUUAUGGGGCUUAUGGGGUUCUUAUGGGGUUUAUGAGAUUUUAUGGGAGCUUAUGGGGUUUAUUGGGGUUUUAUGGGUUUUCUGGGGUUUCUGGGGUUUUUAUGGGGUUUUUGGGAUUUUAUGGUGUUUAUGGGGUUAUGCGGGUUUUUAUGGGGUUUAUAGAGUUUAAUGGGGUUUAUGGGGUUUUAUGGGAGCUUAUGGGGUUUAUUGGGUCUUUAUGGGCUUUAUGGGGUUUAUGGGGUCUUUAUGGGGUUUAUGGGGCUUUAUGGGGUCUUUAUGGGGUUUAUGGGGUUUUUAUGGUGUUUUAUCGUGUUUAUGGGGUUUAUGGGGGUUUUAGGAGGUUUUAUGGGGUUUAUUGGGGUUUAUGGAGUUUAUGGGUGUUUAUGGGGCUUAUGGGGGUUUUAUGGGGUUUCUUACUGGGCUUUUAUGGGGCUAAUGGUUUUUUUGUGGGGGUUAUUGGGUUUUUAUGGGGUUUCAAUGGGGUUUAUGUGGUUUUUAUGGGGAUUUAUGGAGUUUUUAUGGUUUUUUUUAUGGGGUCACCCCGGUGAGCCUUUAUGGGGCUUUUUUGGGGGUUGGGGUUGGGGGG